UCAUCGCUCCUGAGCUCACA
rnacentral:miRNA from 1 species